rnacentral:rRNA from 1 species
GGCUCAGGAUGAACGCUAGCGGCAGGCUUAACACAUGCAAGUCGAGGGGCAGCAUGAGACGGAGAUUCGUCGAAGUCUUGAUGGCGACCGGCGCAAGGGUGCGUAACGCGUGAGCAACUUGCCCGUUUCUGGGGAAUAACCGGUGGAAACGCCGACUAAUACCCCAUAGUAUUGAGUUUAGGCAUCUUUACUCAAUUAAAGAAUUUCGGAAACGGAUAGGCUCGCGUGACAUUAGCUAGAUGGCGGGGUAACGGCCCACCAUGGCGACGAUGUCUAGGGGUUCUGAGAGGAAGGUCCCCCACACUGGAACUGAGACACGGUCCAGACUCCUACGGGAGGCAGCAGUGAGGAAUAUUGGUCAAUGGUCUGACGACUGAACCAGCCAUGCCGCGUGAAGGUGACGGCCCUAUGGGUCUUAAACUUCUUUUGUAAGGGAGCAAUAAGUCUUACGUGUAGGAUGAUGAGAGUACCUUACGAAUAAGCAUCGGCUAACUCCGUG